rnacentral:lncRNA from 1 species
AGAAUACCUGCUACAAAUUAUAGUGAUAAAGAAAGAAAUUAUAUAGCUAGAGGAAAAGUUAGACCCUUAGAACCUAAAAUAGAAUUUCAGACACCUCAUAAACCACAAUUAUUAAAUAUUACAGCACAUGAUCCCCAGACUUGGAAUAAUACAAUAGAAGUUUGGAAGAAUACGAUUUUAGGUCAUUAUAUUAGGUUAGCAGAUAAUAUGGAACCAUUAGAAAUGUAUAGAUAUUUAGAAACUUUUUUAGGAGAAAGUACUAAAGCUACAUGGGAAGCCUAUAAAAGAGAUAAACAAUCAGAAUUUGAAGCAUUAGUAUUAUUAGGAAAUAAUCCUUAUAAUUUCUUUAGUAAAAUACAUGAAUUACUAACAGGAGCAGACCCUAAUACAGGACACUUAAUAAUUCAAAAUAAAGCUAUAAGAAACUUAGAACAACUUAGUUUAAAUAGAUGGACUAAUGGUAAAGAAGUUAAACAAUUUUUAAAUGAAUAUUAUUAUUUAGUUUCUAUUUCAGGAAAUACUUUUAAUCAAGAAUUAGGUAAGAAAUUAUUUCAUAAAUUACUAGGACCCUUAGGAUUAGAAAUAACAAAGAAAUGGAAUGAAAAUAAAAGUGUUAAAGAAAGACCAGAUUCAUUAUGGAGUAUAGGAAUUAGAACACAAUUUAUAAUGCAAUGUUUAGAAGAAAAAUGUAUUGAAUUACAAAUACAGAAUCAACUUAAAAAAAUAGAUUAUAAAUUUUGUAAAGAUAUUUAUACACCUCAGACUUAUGGAAAUAAGUUUAAAGAAAAA